rnacentral:rRNA from 4 species
GGGUUGUGAGGUUAAGCGACUAAGCGUACACGGUGGAUGCCCUGGCAGUCAGAGGCGAUGAAGGACGUGCUAAUCUGCGAUAAGCGUCGGUAAGGUGAUAUGAACCGUUAUAACCGGCGAUUUCCGAAUGGGGAAACCCAGUGUGUUUCGACACACUAUCAUUAACUGAAUCCAUAGGUUAAUGAGGCGAACCGGGGGAACUGAAACAUCUAAGUACCCCGAGGAAAAGAAAUCAACCGAGAUUCCCCCAGUAGCGGCGAGCGAACGGGGAGCAGCCCAGAGCCUGAAUCAGUGUGUGUGUUAGUGGAAGCGUCUGGAAAGGCGCGCGAUACAGGGUGACAGCCCCGUACACAAAAAUGCACAUGCUGUGAGCUCGAUGAGUAGGGCGGGACACGUGGUAUCCUGUCUGAAUAUGGGGGGACCAUCCUCCAAGGCUAAAUACUCCUGACUGACCGAUAGUGAACCAGUACCGUGAGGGAAAGGCGAAAAGAACCCCGGCGAGGGGAGUGAAAAAGAACCUGAAACCGUGUACGUACAAGCAGUGGGAGCACGCUUAGGCGUGUGACUGCGUACCUUUUGUAUAAUGGGUCAGCGACUUAUAUUCUGUAGCAAGGUUAACCGAAUAGGGGAGCCGAAGGGAAACCGAGUCUUAACUGGGCGUUAAGUUGCAGGGUAUAGACCCGAAACCCGGUGAUCUAGCCAUGGGCAGGUUGAAGGUUGGGUAACACUAACUGGAGGACCGAACCGACUAAUGUUGAAAAAUUAGCGGAUGACUUGUGGCUGGGGGUGAAAGGCCAAUCAAACCGGGAGAUAGCUGGUUCUCCCCGAAAGCUAUUUAGGUAGCGCCUCGUGAAUUCAUCUCCGGGGGUAGAGCACUGUUUCGGCAAGGGGGUCAUCCCGACUUACCAACCCGAUGCAAACUGCGAAUACCGGAGAAUGUUAUCACGGGAGACACACGGCGGGUGCUAACGUCCGUCGUGAAGAGGGAAACAACCCAGACCGCCAGCUAAGGUCCCAAAGUCAUGGUUAAGUGGGAAACGAUGUGGGAAGGCCCAGACAGCCAGGAUGUUGGCUUAGAAGCAGCCAUCAUUUAAAGAAAGCGUAAUAGCUCACUGGUCGAGUCGGCCUGCGCGGAAGAUGUAACGGGGCUAAACCAUGCACCGAAGCUGCGGCAGCGACGCUUAUGCGUUGUUGGGUAGGGGAGCGUUCUGUAAGCCUGCGAAGGUGUGCUGUGAGGCAUGCUGGAGGUAUCAGAAGUGCGAAUGCUGACAUAAGUAACGAUAAAGCGGGUGAAAAGCCCGCUCGCCGGAAGACCAAGGGUUCCUGUCCAACGUUAAUCGGGGCAGGGUGAGUCGACCCCUAAGGCGAGGCCGAAAGGCGUAGUCGAUGGGAAACAGGUUAAUAUUCCUGUACUUGGUGUUACUGCGAAGGGGGGACGGAGAAGGCUAUGUUGGCCGGGCGACGGUUGUCCCGGUUUAAGCGUGUAGGCUGGUUUUCCAGGCAAAUCCGGAAAAUCAAGGCUGAGGCGUGAUGACGAGGCACUACGGUGCUGAAGCAACAAAUGCCCUGCUUCCAGGAAAAGCCUCUAAGCAUCAGGUAACAUCAAAUCGUACCCCAAACCGACACAGGUGGUCAGGUAGAGAAUACCAAGGCGCUUGAGAGAACUCGGGUGAAGGAACUAGGCAAAAUGGUGCCGUAACUUCGGGAGAAGGCACGCUGAUAUGUAGGUGAAGCGACUUGCUCGUGGAGCUGAAAUCAGUCGAAGAUACCAGCUGGCUGCAACUGUUUAUUAAAAACACAGCACUGUGCAAACACGAAAGUGGACGUAUACGGUGUGACGCCUGCCCGGUGCCGGAAGGUUAAUUGAUGGGGUUAGCGCAAGCGAAGCUCUUGAUCGAAGCCCCGGUAAACGGCGGCCGUAACUAUAACGGUCCUAAGGUAGCGAAAUUCCUUGUCGGGUAAGUUCCGACCUGCACGAAUGGCGUAAUGAUGGCCAGGCUGUCUCCACCCGAGACUCAGUGAAAUUGAACUCGCUGUGAAGAUGCAGUGUACCCGCGGCAAGACGGAAAGACCCCGUGAACCUUUACUAUAGCUUGACACUGAACAUUGAGCCUUGAUGUGUAGGAUAGGUGGGAGGCUUUGAAGUGUGGACGCCAGUCUGCAUGGAGCCGACCUUGAAAUACCACCCUUUAAUGUUUGAUGUUCUAACGUUGACCCGUAAUCCGGGUUGCGGACAGUGUCUGGUGGGUAGUUUGACUGGGGCGGUCUCCUCCUAAAGAGUAACGGAGGAGCACGAAGGUUGGCUAAUCCUGGUCGGACAUCAGGAGGUUAGUGCAAUGGCAUAAGCCAGCUUGACUGCGAGCGUGACGGCGCGAGCAGGUGCGAAAGCAGGUCAUAGUGAUCCGGUGGUUCUGAAUGGAAGGGCCAUCGCUCAACGGAUAAAAGGUACUCCGGGGAUAACAGGCUGAUACCGCCCAAGAGUUCAUAUCGACGGCGGUGUUUGGCACCUCGAUGUCGGCUCAUCACAUCCUGGGGCUGAAGUAGGUCCCAAGGGUAUGGCUGUUCGCCAUUUAAAGUGGUACGCGAGCUGGGUUUAGAACGUCGUGAGACAGUUCGGUCCCUAUCUGCCGUGGGCGCUGGAGAACUGAGGGGGGCUGCUCCUAGUACGAGAGGACCGGAGUGGACGCAUCACUGGUGUUCGGGUUGUCAUGCCAAUGGCACUGCCCGGUAGCUAAAUGCGGAAGAGAUAAGUGCUGAAAGCAUCUAAGCACGAAACUUGCCCCGAGAUGAGUUCUCCCUGACCCUUUAAGGGUCCUGAAGGAACGUUGAAGACGACGACGUUGAUAGGCCGGGUGUGUAAGCGCAGCGAUGCGUUGAGCUAACCGGUACUAAUGAACCGUGAGGCUUAACCUUACAACGCCGAAGGUGUUU